rnacentral:rRNA from 1 species
CGUGUAGGCGGUGCGGUAAGUUGGGCGUGAAAUCCCCGAGUUUAACUCGGGUGGGCCGUUCAAGACUGCCGUGCUAGGGUGCGGGAGAGGGAAGUGGAAUUUCCGGUGUAGCGGUGAAAUGCGUAGAUAUCGGGAGGAACACCUGCGGCGAAGGCGGCUUCCUGGACCGUAACCGACGCUGAGGCGCGAAAGCUAGGGGAGCAAACAGGAUUAGAUACCCUGGUAGUCCUAGCCCUAAACGAUGAGCACUGGGUGUGGCCCCUCACGGGGCCGUGCCGAAGCUAACGCAUUAAGUGCUCCGCCUGGGGAGUACGGUCGCAAGGCUGAA